UUAUUAUAUAUGAUUAUGAAAGUUAAUGGGAGUAGAUUAUGGGUCAAGGUCGUGUAAGUUGUUUAAAUAUUUUUUUGGAAAAACUUUAAAAACCCUCCUGUGGUUUCAUACUUUUUUAUUUUAGUACCCUAUGAUUUAAAGUGUAUCAAGUUAGUAUCCUGUGGUUUCUUACUUUAUCACUUUAAUACCAUGUGGUUUAAAGUGUAUCAAGUUAGUAACCUGUGGUUUUGCACUUUAUCACUUUAGUACCCUGUGGUUUCACACUUUAUCACUUUAGUACCCUAUAGUUUAACAAACCACAUGAUAUUAACUUGAUACAAAAUUAAAAUCACACGGUACUAAAGUGAUAAAGUGCAAAACCACAGGGUACUAACUUGAUCCACUUUAAACCACAGGGUACUAAAGUGAUAAAGUGAGAAACCACAGGAUACUAACUUGAUACAUUUUAAACCACAAGGUAAUAAAGUGAAAAAAAUUGAAACUACAAAGGGAGGUUUUUGUAGUUUUCCCUUUUUUAAAUAAUUGCGCACCGUUUAAAUUUUAAAUUUUGCUCUACAAUAAACUUAUUCAACGGUUACGAUCUAAUAGCAACGUUAUAGUUUAUUGAAAAAACUUCAAAAACCCCCCCGUGGUUUCCUGGUUUCUCACUUUGCCCUUCUGUGGUUUAAAAUGUAUCAAUUUGCCCCCCCCUGUAGUUUCUUUUUUCUCUUUUUCUUAUCAAUUUUAUUAUUUUAUUUUUCUUAAAUCAGUGAUAAAGUUCAAAUUAAAGGGUACUAAAGUGAAUAUUUGAUAAAUCUAGAUGGAUAUCUGAAGUUUUUUGUAUAUAAUUUAAUGAAAUAUUAACAAAAAAACUAGCAAAAAGAUAAAAACGAAAUCACAGGGGGUAAUUUGAUACAUUUUAAAUCACAUGGGGGUAAAGUGAGAAACUAGGAAAUCACAGGGGGGAUUUUUG
rnacentral:lncRNA from 1 species